CGCGAACGCUACGACUAAACGUUCGCCACAAUAUUAAUGUAGACAAAGGCGGUAAAUUUGAACAAAUACGAAUGAUAAACCGUUACAGUUUACCCAUCGGGAACGCACCAUUCGGAAUCGCUGUGCAAAUUCGAGAAAUGAAUUACGCCUUUUGGUUCUUUCCCUCUGCUCCAGCAUUAUUGCUACUCGGACGCAGGUACUCACUGGAC